CAGACUCGGUGGGGCGGGACAGCUGGUGUUGUGAAUCAGGCCGCCGUAGUCCAGGGACCGGCUACUUCCCAACACCAGGGUCUAACCCUUGCCC
rnacentral:pre_miRNA from 1 species